rnacentral:lncRNA from 1 species
AGAGACUGUGCUAGGCUCUGGGAAUACAAAUACAAAGAAUGGGGAAAAAUUUCUUUUUUGCAAGCAGCUUACAUUCUAAGGGCGGGACAAGUACAUAUGCAAAUCUAGUCAGCAUAAAAAUAAAAUGAAUAAAUAUAUGCAAAGUAGUUAAAUAGAGUGCAGCUAGGCGGCGCAGUGAACAGAGUGUGGGGCCUGGAGCCGGGAAGACUUAUCUUCCUGAGUUCAUAUGUGGCCUCAGACAGUUACUAGCAGUUGUGAUCCUGGGCACGUCACUCAGUCUUGUUUGCCUCGGUUUCCUCAUCUGUAAAAUUUGCUGAGGAAGGAAAUGGCAAACUACUCCAGUGUCUUUGCCAAGAAAAGCCCAAAUGGGGUCACGACGAAUGGGACGCGACUGAAAACGACUGAACACGUCAAAUAGAAAGGAGGGAGGGCACUAGCAGAUGGGGGGCAGGGGGAGAUGUUGAAGGGCCGGGCGGCGACCAGGGCGGGGGUGCACCGGUAAAGGUUUGCGCAGAAGGUGGCGCUUGAGCUGCUUCAAGAAACACUGUACCCUUAGACAAGCCUCUUUUCAUCUCUGGAUGUGGUUUCCACCCCACCUCCCCCGGCUCCAGGCCUAGCCCCUCCCCCGCUCGCCGCGCUCUCUAGCGCUCCUCUGCACAGGCCCAUCCCUCCUCCCAGGACGGUGGCUCUCCCGAGCGCUGCAGCUCCGGCGUACGCCGCCCGGAGGCGCUGUAGCGGGAGGCCGGCUCCCUGACCAAACUGCGAGGCCCCGCCUCUUCCGGCGCUCCCUGGGGCCGCUUUUCCCGGCAGUCCCCGCGAGGCUCCGGCUUUUGGGGUCACCUCACCGAGCCUUUGGACUUCACUGUUCCCUGUUGCAGGCCCAGGCUCGCACUCGCGGCCCUUUGCGGAAGCCAGCUACGAGACUUAGAGAAGUGCACCGACUUCCGGGUGGAUACUGGAAGCUAGGUCUCCCAGCUCCAGAUCAAGGGUUCAUUCUGUUAUACAUCACUUUGUUGUCCUGA